UUAAGCGACUAAGCGUACACGGUGGAUGCCCUGGCAGUCAGAGGCGAUGAAGGACGUGCUAAUCUGCGAUAAGCGUCGGUAAGGUGAUAUGAACCGUUAUAACCGGCGAUUUCCGAAUGGGGAAACCCAGUGUGUUUCGACACACUAUCAUUAACUGAAUCCAUAGGUUAAUGAGGCGAACCGGGGGAACUGAAACAUCUAAGUACCCCGAGGAAAAGAAAUCAACCGAGAUUCCCCCAGUAGCGGCGAGCGAACGGGGAGGAGCCCAGAGCCUGAAUCAGUGUGUGUGUUAGUGGAAGCGUCUGGAAAGGCGCGCGAUACAGGGUGACAGCCCCGUACACAAAAAUGCACAUGCUGUGAGCUCGAUGAGUAGGGCGGGACACGUGGUAUCCUGUCUGAAUAUGGGGGGACCAUCCUCCAAGGCUAAAUACUCCUGACUGACCGAUAGUGAACCAGUACCGUGAGGGAAAGGCGAAAAGAACCCCGGCGAGGGGAGUGAAAAAGAACCUGAAACCGUGUACGUACAAGCAGUGGGAGCCUCUUAAUGGGGUGACUGCGUACCUUUUGUAUAAUGGGUCAGCGACUUAUAUUCUGUAGCAAGGUUAACCGAAUAGGGGAGCCGAAGGGAAACCGAGUCUUAACUGGGCGUUAAGUUGCAGGGUAUAGACCCGAAACCCGGUGAUCUAGCCAUGGGCAGGUUGAAGGUUGGGUAACACUAACUGGAGGACCGAACCGACUAAUGUUGAAAAAUUAGCGGAUGACUUGUGGCUGGGGGUGAAAGGCCAAUCAAACCGGGAGAUAGCUGGUUCUCCCCGAAAGCUAUUUAGGUAGCGCCUCGUGAAUUCAUCUCCGGGGGUAGAGCACUGUUUCGGCAAGGGGGUCAUCCCGACUUACCAACCCGAUGCAAACUGCGAAUACCGGAGAAUGUUAUCACGGGAGACACACGGCGGGUGCUAACGUCCGUCGUGAAGAGGGAAACAACCCAGACCGCCAGCUAAGGUCCCAAAGUCAUGGUUAAGUGGGAAACGAUGUGGGAAGGCCCAGACAGCCAGGAUGUUGGCUUAGAAGCAGCCAUCAUUUAAAGAAAGCGUAAUAGCUCACUGGUCGAGUCGGCCUGCGCGGAAGAUGUAACGGGGCUAAACCAUGCACCGAAGCUGCGGCAGCGACACUAUGUGUUGUUGGGUAGGGGAGCGUUCUGUAAGCCUGUGAAGGUGGCCUGUGAGGGUUGCUGGAGGUAUCAGAAGUGCGAAUGCUGACAUAAGUAACGAUAAAGCGGGUGAAAAGCCCGCUCGCCGGAAGACCAAGGGUUCCUGUCCAACGUUAAUCGGGGCAGGGUGAGUCGACCCCUAAGGCGAGGCCGAAAGGCGUAGUCGAUGGGAAACAGGUUAAUAUUCCUGUACUUGGUGUUACUGCGAAGGGGGGACGGAGAAGGCUAUGUUGGCCGGGCGACGGUUGUCCCGGUUUAAGCGUGUAGGCUGGUUUUCCAGGCAAAUCCGGAAAAUCAAGGCUGAGGCGUGAUGACGAGGCACUACGGUGCUGAAGUGACAAAUGCCCUGCUUCCAGGAAAAGCCUCUAAGCAUCAGGUAACAUCAAAUCGUACCCCAAACCGACACAGGUGGUCAGGUAGAGAAUACCAAGGCGCUUGAGAGAACUCGGGUGAAGGAACUAGGCAAAAUGGUGCCGUAACUUCGGGAGAAGGCACGCUGAUAUGUAGGUGAAGCGACUUGCUCGUGGAGCUGAAAUCAGUCGAAGAUACCAGCUGGCUGCAACUGUUUAUUAAAAACACAGCACUGUGCAAACACGAAAGUGGACGUAUACGGUGUGACGCCUGCCCGGUGCCGGAAGGUUAAUUGAUGGGGUUAGCGGUAACGCGAAGCUCUUGAUCGAAGCCCCGGUAAACGGCGGCCGUAACUAUAACGGUCCUAAGGUAGCGAAAUUCCUUGUCGGGU
rnacentral:rRNA from 1 species